CUCCUAGCGGGAAGUUGGAGAGGUUUGUGGCUGGGAGCGUGUAGAUGAGUUUGAAUGAGAGCAGGUGGUGCCGGAGAUCCAAAGGUCGGCUGGGAGCCUGUUCUAUAGCCACUCACUCCAGGAUCUGGGCUAAUGGGGCAGCCACCAUCUUGAAAAUUGCUGAUCUCAUCCCAGGAAAAGGAACCCAGCAAACCAGAGGCAAUGAAGAAACCAAAGAAGGAUUGAUUAAAG